rnacentral:tRNA from 1 species
GCUCCCAUGGCGUAGUGGUCACUGCACUCGCCUUGCACGCGGGAGACCUGGGUUCGAUUUCCGGCGGGGUCA